GAUCCCCUCUUUUGGUAUCUUCUGGUGAGCUCAACCCAAGGAGAUGGCAUGGGGUGCCUACAGCUGUUGGACCAUCACUCAAUUUAUACUACAACUCAUCGUGCACAGGAGGGGUGCGUCUAUGUCUCAGGCUGCGUGAGGAUGCCAGGACUCUUCACAGGACCUACGUAGUGCUCCACUUCUACUGAGUCCUUGUGACCUGCUGAGCUGAAAAGGAAAAGGAGGAUACCAGACAACAAGGACUUCUCUCUGGAGAGCAGCU